rnacentral:rRNA from 1 species
UACGUAGGGGGCAAGCGUUGUCCGGAAUCAUUGGGCGUAAAGAGCGUGUAGGCGGCCCGGUAAGUCCGCUGUGAAAGUCGGGGGCUCAACCCUCGAAUGCCGGUGGAUACUGUCGGGCUAGAGUGCGGAAGAGGCGAGUGGAAUUCCUGGUGUAGCGGUGAAAUGCGCAGAUAUCAGGAGGAACACCGAUUGCGAAGGCAGCUCGCUGGGACGUCACUGACGCUGAGACGCGAAAGCGUGGGGGAGCAAACAGG